GGCGGGUCUGCCGAUGGGUAUGCACUUGUCGAGCCGUAUUUCCUCCCGGAGACCUCGCCUACUCUUAACUGAGGGGGGCGGGGGAAACGGGAUUUUUACUUUGAGGAAAUCAGAGUGUUCAAAGCAGGCUUUUGUAUGUAUGUGUUAGCAUGGGAUAAUGAAAUAAGACUUUGGUGCUAUUUUGUUGGUUUCGAACACCGAAAUAAUGAUUAAUAGGGAUAGUCAGGGGCACUCGUAUUCCACCGAAAGAGGUGAAAUUCUUAUACCAAUGGAAGACGAACUUCUGCGAAAGCAUUUGCCAGGGAUGUUUUCACUGAUCAAGAACGAAAGUUAGGGGAUCGAAGACGAUCAGAUACCGUCGUAUUCUUAACCAUAAACCAUGCCGACUAGGGAUUGGGGGAUGUUAUUUUUACCACUCCUUCACCACCUUACGAGAAAUCAAAGUCU
rnacentral:rRNA from 1 species